UACGGAGGGUGCAAGCGUUGGCUCGGAAUUAUUGGGCGUAAAGGGCAAGUAGGUGGUCUCAUUUGUCGUGGGGUGAAAGCCUUGAGCUUAAACCUCAAGAAGUCGCCCCAGAAACGGUGAGACUCGAGUACUGGAGAGGGUCGUGGAAUUCCCGGUGUAGCGGUGAAAUGCGUAGAGAUCGGGAGGAACACCAGAGGCGAAGGCGGCG
rnacentral:rRNA from 1 species